rnacentral:lncRNA from 1 species
GUCUAAUUCGGUAGGUCACAUUCAUGAAAGGGAAGGGGAUUGUAGUUACGACGUAAGGAACAUAUCCGAUAUCAUUUGUGAAACGGUUAUUCCAUAACGGUCAACCAACUCGUGAUGGCGUCCGUAAAAUUUACGAAGGGAUGAUUUCAACUUCACCAUUUGGAACUCUUGGUUUAAUAGCUUCCUUGUGAGCAGUAACCCUCUAUCAAGAAAAUCAUGAUAGGAAAUGCAAGCACGGGAAUAUCGUAUCAAUUGGG